rnacentral:lncRNA from 1 species
CUCAACAAAACUUUUCCUAGGCUAUGUAGUAAAAAGCACCUUUGGUUACCUGAAUAGACAG